ACGGGUGAGUAAUGCCUAGGAAUCUGCCUGGUAGUGGGGGACAACGUUUCGAAAGGAACGCUAAUACCGCAUACGUCCUACGGGAGAAAGCAGGGGACCUUCGGGCCUUGCGCUAUCAGAUGAGCCUAGGUCGGAUUAGCUAGUUGGUGGGGUAAUGGCUCACCAAGGCGACGAUCCGUAACUGGUCUGAGAGGAUGAUCAGUCACACUGGAACUGAGACACGGUCCAGACUCCUACGGGAGGCAGCAGUGGGGAAUAUUGGACAAUGGGCGAAAGCCUGAUCCAGCCAUGCCGCGUGUGUGAAGAAGGUCUUCGGAUUGUAAAGCACUUUAAGUUGGGAGGAAGGGCAGUAAGCGAAUACCUUGCUGUUUUGACGUUACCGACAGAAUAAGCACCGGCUAACUCUGUGCCAGCAGCCGCGGUAAUACAGAGGGUGCAAGCGUUAAUCGGAAUUACUGGGCGUAAAGCGCGCGUAGGUGGUUUGUUAAGUUGGAUGUGAAAGCCCCGGGCUCAACCUGGGAACUGCAUCCAAAACUGGCAAGCUAGAGUACAGUAGAGGGUGGUGGAAUUUCCUGUGUAGCGGUG
rnacentral:rRNA from 28 species